CUCAAUGAGGAGAUAAACUCGUUAAUCUUUUCUUCUUCUUUAUUCUUCUUCCUUCUUCUCUUUCUCCUAUUCUUCGUCUCUCGUUCUUCAGUGAUAAGAUUUUAGUUUUGAGAUCGGAAAAACUUAAGAGAAACACUAAAGUUUGGUUGUUCGUGCUCGUGUUGUUUUUGGUUUGGAAAGGAAAGCAGGAGAAAGGGUAGAUUGGUUAGAAUCUGGAGUUAGGGUUCUGAGAUUUGGUUUUGAUUGAAGUUUGUGUAAAUUGAGGAUGAAGUCGAGUAAUUCAUGAAUGGGUUGAAUGAAUUGAAGGUUUAGAUCGAUGUUUGGAGAUCGAACUGUAGCAGAGAAGUUUGGGAAUGAAAUUAGGGUUUCUCAGAGAAUCGAAUUAGAAUUCAAUUAAAGGUGAAUAAGGAGAAGUCAGUAGAUGAGUUUCUGAAAUUCAUUGAAGAUGUGAUUUGAGAUGGUUGAGGAGAAAUUAAUGGAUGGGUUUUGAUGAACAUGAAGUAAAGACGAAGAUUAUGAUGUUAAUUUACAGAUCCAGUUAAUAAGAAGAAGAAUUGGAAUUCAAUUCUCGAUUCCCAGUGAAGAAAAGAUUGGUGUUGAGCAAUUAAAGGAAGAAGAAGACUUCCGGUUAAGUAUUGGAGAUGAACUGAGUUGAAUUGUGAGAAGUCUACAGUAAGGCUUGAGCCACUGUUGAAGUAAUUAGCAGUAAGAAAUAGUUAUGUUGGUCUGGAAAAUUAUGGAAUUGUAUAUUGGUGGUAGUGGUAGUGGUUGUCUUAAUACUGGAUUAAGAUGAAGUGUAGUUAUAUUUGCUGGUGGUGAUUGAGAAAAGAAUGUGCUUGGUGUUGAAGUGGUAUAUAGGGAUGGUGUUGGUGUUUGAACAGUUGGAUUUGCUGGUGAUGGUGGUUUAUGAGUAACAAGGCUUUAGAAAUGAGACUGUUAGUGUUGUAUUCACAAGUGCAGGGCUAGCUGGAGUUGCAGUUAUUGGAGCCUUGGGAUGCUGGUGUUAGUGAGAUGGAAAUGGAAACAUAAAUGGUGGUAGAGAUGAAAGUGCAGGAAAUGUAUGAAAUGAUGAAGGUAUUGUCUGAAUUGAAGUCAGUAAAUGCAGAUGGUGUUAUGAUUGUAUCUUAGUCUCGUGAUUGAGUUGCAAGAGUUUUAGUAUAUGAUUAGAUGAUACAGAUUGUGGGUGAGAAUGAAGUAUCAAAUUGUAUUUAGUUGUUGAAGGUAGUAAUAUUACUGGUGCUGAGUUUGUGGUGUAGGUGGUGGGGCUGUAGUUGGUUGUGAGUUGCAAGGAAGUGUUGUUGUUGUUGUAGUCAUGGCUUGAUGGCAGUCCCUAUGAAUGCUUGCUUCUGCUCUUGUAGGUAAGCUGUAUUGUCUUUGUAAAUCAAUUUAGAGAUAUAAAUUGAAAUUGUAUUUGAGCUGAUGUUA